AUGAGACACAAGCCAGGAGCUGACUAAACAUGCAGUGACAUCUUUCAAACGAGCACGGACUCCAUAGGAAGAUGCUGCACACAAUGCUGUCUGCACUAAGACUUUUCCAAAAAAUUCCUGGCAUUGCUUCCUCUUGAAGAAGGAGAGGCCCCUUCAAAAACGAGCUGCCUUCCUGGGCUGAGCACCACUGCUCUGCUUCUGCUUUGCUCCCUGGGUGCCCCCAGCAGGCCCAACGUGCCUGACCCAGCACCACACAAUUUCUUCUCCCAUGAGAGCACAGCUACAGAAGUUAGUGAAGCAAACAGUUUGAGAGAGCAGAGUCCAGCAGGAGUGCAGAAGAGGUGGGGUGGAGGCCAGCGCUGAAAGGACACUACGUCACUGAAGGUUUCCCAGGUGGUAUGCCCAAAUCCUGCAGUGCUGCGCUCCGUGUAUUUGACAAGCUGAGUUUGACACUCAGUGUGGCAGAGUGUCAGUUUGUCAAAUACCCCAAGUGAGGCAUUUGCUUAGCAACAUACAUCAGCACCACAGAAGAUUGAUUACUUCAUUUGACUGUUUAAUAUUUUCUCUCCGCUGAAAAUACAAGGAGCUAUCUAAUAACUGCAUACUAUGCUUUGCUUCCUGUGCUAGCAGAUUUCCUUAGUACCCCAAAUUCAGAAGCAUCUGUUUGAACACGCAUUUGAAUGGUGAGUUUCUACAGAAAUAGGGCCAAAUUUUUGCUGGCACACUUCCAUUGAGUUACACAAACAGAGAAUUUUGACCAGAAUUAUUUAGCCAAAGACAAUGCUCGUAACUGAAGUAAUGGUGGCAAUUAGGAGGUGAUGUUGAGUUGUUGUGUGACAAUGGUUUUUUAGUAUAUUCAGCUAAGCUAAAGGUUAAGGCAGUUGUGAUCCCACUAACAACACCAUUGCCAAUAACAGAGAAUUUCUUCAUCAGAUGUGUUGAAAUAUUUAUAUAUAAUCAUAGAAGAUGGAGAGGAAAUAGACUUAUAGGGCAAUUAUUUCAUUUUCCCUCUUCUCUGCCAGCCAAUAUAAGAUGAUUCCCUGCAGUGAAUUCUCCUGUGGUUUGUUUAGUUCUAUUUUAAAUGACUCAUGUGAAGGAGCUUUCAUCACUUUGCUUGGAAGUCCUAGUAAAAUAAAUCUCAUGUUUAGAAGUCUCCUUCUCUUCAGCCAGUUACUCCCGGUAAGAUCUCCUAGCAGAGUUGCCUAUUAUAUUUGCUGUACCUCUGCCGUUGUAUUGACGCUAUACUAAGCCAGCUCACAUGAAGAAGACCUAUUUAUUGGCCGCCAUUUUCAAAAGUGACUUGUGAUUUUGGGUGAGACAUCAUAAAAAGGUCUGAUUUUCAGAGGUUGGGGGACUCAACAUAUUUAGAAAAUCAGGUCCCUUUAUGGUGUCUCAAGUUGGACACUCAAAAACUGAGCCAGAACCCAAAAUCCCUUUUGAAAAUUCAGGACAUUGUUACUUUGCUAGUGCAAAGGCUUGUUAGAAAACAACCCUUCUCACUGUUAGUGGAGCAGUAUCAGCAGCCAAUUGUGCAAUUAAAUUUUAUAUAUAUAUGGUAUUUCAUCCUUAACUCUCCUUUUUUCUUUAGAUUACAUCCACUUAUUGUAAAAUGUUUUGGAGAUGCUGGGCUUUGUAUGAAGAAUGCUGUCUGUAAAUAAAUGGUUUUGACUUUCUAAGUGAAUAGCAUGCUGCUUCUGAUCAUCUACAUAAUAGAACUGCAGUGUGCACCUGUGUGAGCAAACAUGGCUGUAGUCAUUCUGAUUCAAACUGUCCCUCCUGAGUUUUCUUUCCAGUCCCUAAAGUUGAUUCAUAGACUGUUCUCUCCUCUUUAUUAUUAUUUUUAUCUGUGCAUUCAGUUUUUAAAAAGUACAAGGUCCAUUGUUCUGUCUGAUUUUCCAUUUCUGAUAAUCCAUAGUGUAACUGAGGCAUACAUUAUCCACCCUAAACCCUUUCUGUCUCUGGUCAGAAGCCACUGGGUCAGAUCCUCAGCUCUUGUAAAUGGGCCCGGCUCCAAUCACGCUACAUCUUUUGACACCAGCUGAAGACACAUCUCAGGGUCCAUUUUAAGUCCCUCACCUCCUCUUUUCCAGCAGUUUACUUCAGUCUUUAUUCUUACUUCUUUGUCGCUCCCCUCCUCUUCCAAAAUGUCUAAGAGCAGAUCCUUCAGUUUCUUCCAGACCUUGGGAGGAAGCAAGAUUAAUCUCUCCAUCUUUGACAUUUUGCUCGGCCAAAUCCUGCUGUUUCUGGGGCAUUUUUAUUUUAAAUUCCCAUCAAGAUCUACAGAUACUCACCACCUCUGAAAAUCAAGAUAGACACAAAAAAUCCAAUUCACCCCAAAUUAGCAAAUCCCCUCUGAAAAUACUGGCUUAAAUGUCCGCAUCACAACCCCACUUUGCCUCAUAGUUCCAUGAAUAUAGUCUGCCCUGAAUCCCACCCUUGUAGUGGCACUGAUAUCAAGUCAAUGGUGUUGCCGAGAUGCAACCAAAGGCAGAAUUUGGUUCAUGACACGUUAACCACUGCUGCCAAGUAUUGUACAUCUUGUACACAGAGCAGUUUCACAGAGGAAGCUGUGGUUUUUCUCUCUCCUUUGGCUCAGAUUCUGGAGUUGACUGUAUUAGUCAGAUCAUCAGGUGAGUGAUCAGUGCAAAGAAAGGAGAAGUUCCCCGAUUAUCUGGAGAAACAACCCUCCCCCUGGCCACCCCUGCAAACCCUUUUGACUUUCAAUGGGAAAUGUCCUGUUCUGGCUGGCUUCUCCCUACCAGAAAUCACAUGCCCACAGCACAGAGGGAAGCAACAGUGCAGGGCCAGAAAGGAAGCUGCUUGGUGCUUUUGGGGAGGGGACCAAAGCGUAGGUAAGGGCAUCCCUGGGGCUGCCGGACCAUGUAGCAGUCAGGGACAAUCAGAGCACUCCAGCCAUGCCUGCUCUGGACCUGUCUCAGCCCCUCUUCAGUUUCUUCCUCCACUCUGCUCCUGCCCCAUCCUUUGCACCAUGGUUUCUGCAGGGGCAGCACAGAGCUGAUGUUCUUUUGCUGAGGGGAAUCAAAAUUGUGGGCCGCGUGGCCCCUUAGCAGCCUCCAUGCACCAGCUGGUGCAAAGUAGCCACAGGUGCAGCAGUGAAUUUCCUCCAGGUGCCGCUUAGGAACAUUCCCUUCUCUUUAUUUCCAGCGGUGCACAGCUCCUGUGUGUCACUUGUUGAUACAAAGCUCUCCAGUGGUUACCAAAGAAGCAUGGACAGACCCUGAGAGCCAUUAAACAAUGCGAGGCUUAUUUCUCAGUUAGUGGCACAGAACUACACCCCAGCACAGCAAGCGGAGAUUGUCCCCCUUAGCUGCAAUACUGUUCAAAUGGAAUCAGACCCUUACAAUUGCUUCAGCCCUCAGAAAGGAUGUGCACACUGCCCUACUGGAACAGAACCACGAGCUGUUUAGUCCAUUACUCUGUCUUUAAUAGUGGCCAGAAACUUUAGAGGCGGUGUGAGCACCCAGAGAUCCCCUCAUUAUACAGUACUGUUCCAGGGAAAGUGGAAGAAAAGAUAUUUCUUCCUGUCCCUGCCCGUUGAUCAAUUAGUGCCCCGACACAUGAGGACUGACAGCCCCAGAAAUGUUGCAGUUGCUAUCACCUCUGCAGAUACUAUUGUUAGCUAUAAAAGCAUUUAAGGCACUUGUUUCACAUAAGAGUAGCAUAUAAGUAAUGUCAAGCCACAGGCUAGUGUUGGAGGCAGGAGGGAAGGGGGCAGAGUCUGAAGCACCUUCAUGCACUCAGGCAGAUUGCUGGUGAGCAGCUCAGCAUGUAAACCCAAGUAAACAAGCAGUAGGGAAGAAACAAAGACAGAGACAAAGUGAUUGAGUCAAGAGCAUAAUACAGGAAGCAGCACAUAGGGUUGAGACAGGGAGCUAAGAACAGGGCUUCACACACCCUUCCAGGAAGGAAUGUUCCUCCCAUUUGUUUUUUGCCAGAGAUCUUUAAAUUCACUGGGGCAGAUUAAAGGAGUAACUGCAGAUAAGGGAGACAGUCCAUUUAUACAUUACAUGACAAAUGUUGCCUACGCUCAUGACUUUUUUGGAAGCCCAUUUCUUAGCACCCCAGCUUCUGGAAUCAAGAGAUUCUGCUUUCAUUAACAAAAGUAACUUGAAAACAUGAAGUGAGGGCACCCUGAAUGCUCGGAAACCAGAAAGCAGAUAAAAAGAGCCCAACAUUAACUAUUUGUAAAAAAAUAAAAUAAAAAAAUCCCUUUUUUAAGCCCAUCUCAUGAUUUUUUGAUGCUUCAAGCUGGCAGUACUGCUAGGGCAUAUGAGGUGCUGGCAAAGUGGCUCAAACAUCUCCAGUCUCAAGGAUCCAACAGGUUUAUUUAAAACAAUAAACCCAUCAGGAAGGGCUAGAACAAACAGGCCCCUAAGCUCUCAGGGCAGGUAGAAGGGUGUUCUUACUUCUCCAUAAGAAACAAGCAGAGUAGCUUGGCUUUAGGCUAAUAACCUAAGACCCUUCCUUCAUAACUUACUAAACCUGUUCCUUUCUCAUAGGGCUGUCAUGAACAGCCUCCCCUUCCCAUGAUUACUUUCAUGACAAGGGUCAGUGCCUACUCUACCCCCAGGGCCUGACAGAACCUCAAAGGCGAUUAGAGAAAAAUCUGUUUGAAUUUUUGCUUCAGAGGACCUCAUUUCCCUCUCUGAGCUUCCUCUUCUUUUCCUAUCACAGGCUAGCAAAAGGCUCUACUCUUUUCUCCAAAAACCUCCUCUUACUCAAUCUGUCCUGCAAAACCUACUGCCUGCCUUGCCUCAUCUUUUAUGGCCACACCCCCACCAAACCCAGCUGCAGUUGAUUGCAGCCCAACCCUACUGCAGCUUUUAACCCCUUCCCUAUCUCAGUAGAUGAGGCAGAAAUGGGAGGCAGAGGUAACACAGACUGAUGAGCCAGGUCUCUUUAUUAACCCUUAGAAAAUUGCCUAUUUCCCAGGUAUGUACCCCAUGAAUGACAGAUAAGCCAAGUUGUGCAGACCAGAUCCACAAUCCAGUCAGAAGUGGAAGAUCCCCAGUGAGCUCUGGGGUGUGCAGAAUUGGGGUUCUGAGUUGGCCAGCUGCAGGGAUGGGCCUGGGUCACAAAGGAUCUGAAUUGUCCAUAAAUUUGUGACAAAAGUUGGGGUGGGCAGGUUGGAUUUGGUGUUCUAGUUCAGCUGUACUGAGAACUAAUUGUUUCCAUGGGCAUUUCUAUGGUCAGGCUGGGGAACUAGUGGGGAAAAGGUUCUGGCAGUUGUGUAGUGGGGGAGAAAAGCAGCCCAAGAGGGAAAGACAUUGCUUUGGGACAGAGGAAGCUUUGCUAAGUAGUGAUACAGUCUAGCAACACACCACUGCCAUCCAUAGCUUAUCUCCACUCUGUAUCCCCCACAGGUGACCUCACAGCCAAUUGACCAACCCAUGAAAGCAAGCAGACAGGUAGGGUCCAUUUGUUGCAGGAGGCACUAAGGUGUCAUAGGGAUGACCCAAGGGACCUGGAAGCAGAUAUAGUAAAUAGGCUGUGUCAUGAAGU